AUUGAACGCUGGCGGCAGGCCUAACACAUGCAAGUCGAACGAGUGGCGGACGGGUGAGUAAUGUCUGGGGAACUGCCCGAUGGAGGGGGAUAACUACUGGAAACGGUAGCUAAUACCGCAUACCAUCGGAUGUGCCCAGAUGGGAUUAGCUUGUAGGUGAGGUAACGGCUCACCUAGGCGACGAUCCCUAGCUGGUCUGAGAGGAUGACCAGCCACACUGGAACUGAGACACGGUCCAGACGCCUACGGGAGGCAGCAGUGGGGAAUAUUGCACAAUGGGCGCAAGCCUGAUGCAGCCAUGCCGCGUGUAUGAAGAAGGCCUUAGGGUUGUAAAGUACUUUCGGUGGGGAGGCGUUACCCACAGAAGAAGCACCGGCUAACGCCGUGCCAGCAGCCGCGGUAAUAC
rnacentral:rRNA from 1 species